GCGGAGGAAAAGAAACCAACAGGGAUUGCCCCAGUAACGGCGAGUGAAGCGGCAACAGCUCAAAUUUGAAAUCUCGGUCCCCUUUGGGGGCCCGAGUUGUAAUUUGAAGAGGAUGCUUUUGGCGAGGCGCCUUCCGAGUGCCCUGGAACGGGACGCCACAGAGGGUGAGAGCCCCGUAUGGUCGGACGCCGAGCCUAUGUAAAGCUCCUUCUACGAGUCGAGUAGUUUGGGAAUGCUGCUCAAAAUGGGAGGUAAACCCCUUCUAAAGCUAAAUACCGGCCAGAGACCGAUAGCGCACAAGUAGAGUGAUCGAAAGAUGAAAAGCACUUUGAAAAGAGAGUUAAACAGCACGUGAAAUUGUUGAAAGGGAAGCGCUUGCGACCAGACUUGCGCCCGUCGGAUCAACCGUCCCUCGUGGGCGGCGCACUCCGGCGGGCUCAGGCCAGCAUCAGUUUCCCGGGGGGGAGAAAGGCGGUGGGAAUGUAGCUCUUCGGAGUGUUA
rnacentral:sRNA from 1 species